rnacentral:rRNA from 1 species
GACGUAGGGCGCGAGCGUUGUCCGGAUUUAUUGGGCGUAAAGAGCUCGUAGGCGGCUUGUCGCGUCGUCCGUGAAAACCUGCGGCUCAACUGCAGGCUGGCGGUCGAUACGGGCAGGCUGGAGUUCGGUAGGGGAGACUGGAAUUCCUGGUGUAGCGGUGAAAUGCAUUGAGAUCGGAAAGAACACCAACGGCGAAAGCACUCUGCUGGGCCGACACUGACACUGAGAGACGAAAGCUAGGGGAGCAAAUGGG